GUUCAUGGCUCAGGAUGAACGCUGGCGGCGUGCUUAACACAUGCAAGUCGAACGGAGAUAUUGAAAGCUUGCUUUAGAUAUCUUAGUGGCGGACGGGUGAGUAACGCGUGGGUAACCUACCCUGUACAGGGGGAUAGCAGUUGGAAACGACUGAUAAAACCGCAUAAAACGGCAGUACCGCAUGGCACAACCGUCAAAUAUUCAUAGGUACAGGAUGGGCCCGCGUCUGAUUAGCUAGUUGGUGGGGCAACGGCCUACCAAGGCGACGAUCAGUAGCCGGCCUGAGAGGGUGAACGGCCACAUUGGGACUGAGGCACGGCCCAAACUCCUACGGGAGGCAGCAGUGGGGAAUAUUGGACAAUGGGGGAAAAACCCCCUGACGCAGCAACACCGCGUGAAUGUUAAGCCCUUCGGGGUGUAAAGUUCUGUCAGUAGGGAAGAACAAAUGACUGUACCUACAAAGGAAGCACCGGCUAACUCCGUGCCAGCCGCCGC
rnacentral:rRNA from 1 species